rnacentral:lncRNA from 1 species
AAAAAUAUUUUUAAAGAAUGAAAUACAUCAAGAAAGAUUAAUGGGGAUAUUACUAACUCUUGACACGGUCAGUUGGGGUCAUUAUAAAGCUAGAAUUUAUGGCCACAGGUGUGCCUAUAUAUUUCAGAAGAGAAAUUUUCUUAAUAUGGCAGGGGCACAAAGGUAAAUUCUGUCUAGUCAUUGACCCCAAUACUCACCUAACACGGAUUGACUUGUAAAGGGUUAGCUUGUAAAUGAAGCACAGCCCUCCCCCCAAUAGGAUGGCUACCAUGACAGUUCUGGAGAGGACCAAAUAGGGUCAAAAACUCUACGGCCCGACAUGAAGGAGUUGAACACCUGAUUGGCAAAGAGUGCUGAAGGUGGCCCAGUUCUCAAGGUGACCACAAAACACCUAUAGAUUUGGAGACAGC